UAUCUCCAAUCGGGAUACGAGGGAACCGUCACGUGUAUAUCCCAACAUGCUUCAAGCAAAUCAGAUUUCAUCACAAUAAUUCAUAUCAUUUGAUACAGCCUAACACAUGGUUUUGUAUUAUCUCAGCAGUGACUAGUAAACCAGAAGAGACACUGUCACGUAAGUGCAGGUUUACAGAGCAAUCUUGACCUGACAUACAAAGAUUAUAUCAUGGUAAGACUUCAAGACCGGGACGCCCGGCAUUAUCUUCAGUUUGUGGCCGCUUAAUUUUUUUUUUAAUUUAGUGACAAUGGUGAUAGCUUACUUGAUAUAUCUAUGCUGUGCGUCAUCGUUUCUCAUUGUGGAUUGUCAAAAGGCCACACAGUCUCGCUUCCGGUGGAGAACUUCCGGAGACAAGCACACGUUUCUUAGCACAGCAAUAGACUAUGAAUUGGCUUAUUUAAGUUAAAAGAAACGAUCAUAACUUUUUAUUCGUGUUUGCGUGUUGUCAACUUGGUUUACGGCGAACAUGUAAGAUGUCCAGGAUCCUAUCUACUCCCGGGUUGGCGAAAAAACGGGGAAAACAAUGCAGUUUACAUGUAUUUGAAGAUAAUGGGCCUACUGCUUGGUGGUUUAUUGGAUUGUGAAAAGUGACACUGGAUUAACGAAUUACCAGAGCAAUCCAUUCCAGGGCAGAUUAUGAAAGCUGCUUUGCUCUUGUUGAUUUUAAUAUCUUAUGAUAUACAAAUACAGAUUAAGUAUUAAAAAUAAAAUAAAAGUCUUCAACACCAUG